CCAGCUCUGUUUAAGUUGAUCAAAGCUACCCCCCUCCUUCAUCACAACACCUCCACUACGAUACGCACAAUGGACGACGAGGUUUUCAUCAUGGAAGUGGAAAAACACACUAUUUUAUAUGAUGUAACCAAUGCUUACUACAAGGACAACAUCAGAAA